UUUCAAGCUUUCCAAGCUCAAUAAUCAAGAGAAACGAGAUUUAAGUCGUGAUCGAGGGAAAAACAAAGUUUACAAGGAAUAGGCCCGAUUGCUAAUAUUUUGUAUCGAGUGUUGUCAGGUUAGCUCAGGGUUGGAGACCGUCGGAGGCAACAUCACACUAUCAAGCCAACACCUUGACAGUAUAAACACAUAUGCUAGAUUUAUCAAGUGAGUGGCAUGUAUAGGGACCUAAUUUUAUAACAUGUGUUAUUAUUAUUUGGCCAAAUAUAUUGGUCUUUAGUGAGCUAAUGAUUCUGACUUAUAAA